UCCUCGCUCAAAGAAUCGCAUUCAAAGCUUACGCACAGAAGUAAAACAAUAACCCUUCAUGGGUAAUUGCUUUUUUUCUUCAAACCAUCACUCCUAGCUUUGGGAGAAAGUCCCCGGACACCCUGCGCCCUCGUCUUCAAACCGCGAGGGUUCUUUAUGUUUUUUAAAUAAAACAAGCCAGGCAAUGCGGAAACGCGCCGCCAUAGAAGCAUAUUUCAUUGCGGCUUACGCCUUUUCUCUUCCCUUCUCUCCUCUCUUCUUUUAGAAGAGGCGGAGAGAGGGCUCGCCUCUUUUUAGCCCGACUCUAUAGAAAAGAUUCUGCAGAGGAAACAAUGGCGGUUAGAUGGGGGUGAGGUUCUUUUCGAACGAGGGAUAGGUUGCUAUUCGUCGUGGUUCGAUAGUCAUGCGAUUGCUUGGUUUUCACCCACGUAUUUAUUUAUAUGUGUGAUACCGGGUAACUCGAUGGGGCUUAUUCUUGAGGCGAGG
rnacentral:RNase_MRP_RNA from 2 species